rnacentral:rRNA from 1 species
CCUACGGGAGGCUGUAGUGAGGAAUAUUGGUCAAUGGCCGCAGGGCUGAACCAGCCAAGUCGCGUGAGGGAUGACGGUCCUAUGGAUUGUAAACCUCUUUUGUCAGGGAGCAAAGGGCGCCACGUGUGGCGCUUUGCGAGUACCUGAAGAAAAAGCAUCGGCUAACUCCGUGCCAGCAGCCGCGGUAAUACGGAGGAUGCGAGCGGUAUCCGGAUUUAUUGGGUUUAAAGGGUGCGCAGGCGGAAUGUCAAGUCAGCGGUAAAAUUUCGGGGCUCAACCCCGUCGUGCCGUUGAAACUGGCGUUCUUGAGUGAGCGAGAAGUAUGCGGAAUGCGUGGUGUAGCGGUGAAAUGCAUAGAUAUCACGCAGAACUCCGAUUGCGAAGGCAGCAUACCGGCGCUCAACUGACGCUCAUGCACGAAAGCGUGGGUAUCGAACAGGAUUAGAUACCCCAGUAGUC